GUCUAUGGCCAUACUACUCUGAACAAGCCCAAUCCUGUCUGAUCUCGGAAGCUAAGCAGAGUCAGGCCGGGUUAGUACUUGAAUGGUAGACCACCUAGGAAAACCAGGUACUGUAGGCA
ensembl:rRNA 5S_rRNA 5S ribosomal RNA